rnacentral:rRNA from 1 species
CCAAUAAUUUAGCCCAAUCAACCCACCCACCUCCCCCACCCAACUAAAAUAUUUUAACAAUUUAGUAGAGAUGAUCAAAAAACUAACCGGAGCAAUAAAUAUGUACCGUAAGGGAAAAAUGAAAUAUAAUGAAAAUUCACAAGCACAAAAAAGUAGAGAUUAACCCUCGUACCUUUUGCAUCAUGGUUUAACUAGUUUAAUUAGGCAAAAAGACUUUAAGUCUAACCCCCCGAAACUAAGUGAGCUACUUCAGGACAGCUUAAAGAGCAAACCCGUCUCUGUCGCAAAAGAGUGGGAAGAGCCUCAAGUAGAGGUGACAAGCCUAACGAACUUUGUGAUAGCUGGUUACUCAAGAAAUGAAUUUAGUCCAACCUAAAAUUAGCCUAGUACAUUUUAAACGUAAACUCAAUUUUAGAGCAAUUCAAGUAAGGUACAGCUUACUUGAAACAGGACACAACCUCCAACAACGGGUAACAAUUAUUCUUUUCCCACCAUCAAGUUGGCUUAAAAGCAGCCACCUUUUAAAAAGCGUCAAAGCUUCCCAUCCUACCCCCCCCCACCCCGAACCCUUCACCCAUACUGAGUAAUUCUAUAAACCUAUAGAAUAUUUUAUGUUAAAACUAGUAACAAGAAGACGCACUUCUCUUUUAUAUAAAUGUGUGCUGACAAAACCCCCAUCAGCCCCUAACAGCCAUGAUGCUAAGUAGCACCUCCCCAAGAAGACCCUACUUAAAAUUCUGUCACCCUAACACAAGAAUAUACCAAGAAAGAUUAAAAGAAAAAGAAGGAACUCGGCAAACAUUGAUUCCGCCUGUUUACCAAAAACAUCGCCUCUUGCACCAUAUAAGAGGUCCAGCCUGCCCGGUGACUCUGUUUAACGGCCGCGGUAUCCUGACCGUGCGAAGGUAGCAUAAUCACUUGUCUUUUAAAUAAAGACUAGUAUGAAAGGCAUCACGAGAAUCCAGCUGUCUCCUAUUUCUAAUCAGUGAAACUAAUAUCCCAGUGAAAAAGCAGGGAUGAUUACGCAAGACGAGAAGACCCUAUGGAGCUUUAAACUAAAUGACAUCCACUCACAUCCACUAAAUUUCCUGAAAAAUCACCCCAUGAGUGAAUUGACCAUAAGUUUUUGGUUGGGGCGACCGCGGAGUAAAACCCACCCCCCGCAAUGAUAAAGGCUUAGCCUUAAGCUAAGAGCUACAGCUCAAAAAAUUAGUAUACUAACAUCAAUUGACCCAAUAUUCUUGAUCAACGAACCAAGUUACCCUAGGGAUAACAGCGCAAUCCGCUUCGAGAGUACAUAUCGACAAGCAGGUUUACGACCUCGAUGUUGGAUCAGGGCAUCCCGGUGGUGCAGCCGCUACUAAUGGUUCGUUUGUUCAACGAUUAAAGCCCUACGUGAUCUGAGUUCAGACCGAAGCAAUUCAGGUCGGUUUCUAUCUGCAAAGAGCUACUUCUAGUACGAAAGGACCGAAAAAGCACGGCCUAUGUAAUUUACAAGCCGCAUAUAAUAAUGUUUGAACCCCACUUAACACCUUAUUUUAUCUUAAACUGACUUCAAGACAAGAAAG